rnacentral:misc_RNA from 1 species
AACGCACAUUGCGCCCUCUGGUAUUCCGGGGGGCAUGCCUGUUCGAGCGUCAUUAUAACCACUCAAGCUCUCGCUUGGUAUUGGGGUUCGCGGUCUCGCGGCCCCUAAAGUCAGUGGCGGUGCCUGUCGGCUCUACGCGUAGUAAUACUCCUCGCGAUUGAGUCCGGUAGGUUUACUUGCCAGCAACCCCUAAUUUUUACAGGUUGACCUCGGAUCAGGUAGGGAUACCCGCUGAACUUAA